AAACAGCCCCCUAUGUAUCGGAUUUUUGGCAAUUUUGGCCCCCAAAGCCACUUUUGACUUAAUCUUCGCUGACGUGGCACUCACAUCCCUUAAGCGAGGCGGCACAUGUCGACCAUUGUGGGUGUCACGUCAGCGAAGACUAAGUCAAAAGCGGCCUUGGGGGCCAAAACUGCCAAAGGUCCAAUACAUAGGGGGGCUGUUU
rnacentral:pre_miRNA from 1 species